rnacentral:rRNA from 1 species
CAAGGAAUAUUGCGCAAUGGGCGAAAGCCUGACGCAGCGACGCCGCGUGGGUGAAGAAGGCCUUCGGGUCGUAAAGCCCUUUUGCUGGGGAAGAGAAUGGACGGUACCCAGCGAAUAAGCCCCGGCUAACUACGUGCCAGCAGCCGCGGUAAUACGUAGGGGGCAAGCGUUGUCCGGAUUUACUGGGCGUAAAGAGCACGCAGGCGGUUCGUUAAGUCGGUUGUGAAAUCCCACGGCCCAACUGUGGGGGGUCGACCGAAACUGGCGGACUUGAGGGAGGCAGAGGGAAGCGGAAUUCCCGGAGUAGUGGUGAAAUGCGUAGAUACCGGGAGGAACACCAGUGGCGAAAGCGGCUUCCUGGGCUUUUCCUGACGCUGAGGUGCGAAGGCGUGGGGAGCGAACCGG